CCUACGGGUGGCAGCAGUGAGGAAUAUUGGUCAAUGGGCGAGAGCCUGAACCAGCCAAGUCGCGUGAGGGAGUACUGCCCUAUGGGUUGUAAACCUCUUUUGUCGGGGAGCAAAAGCCGGACGUGUCCGGCUGUGAGAGUACCCGAAGAAAAAGCAUCGGCUAACUCCGUGCCAGCAGCCGCGGUAAUACGGAGGAUGCGAGCGUUAUCCGGAUUUAUUGGGUGUAAAGGGAGCGUAGACGGCGAGGUAAGCCUGAAGUGGAAGCCCGCGGCCCAACCGCGGAACUGCUUUGGGAACUGUUUUGCUGGAGUAUGGGAGGGGUAAGCGGAAUUCCUGGUGUAGCGGUGAAAUGCGUAGAUAUCAGGAGGAACACCGGUGGCGAAGGCGGCUUACUGGACCAUAACUGACGUUGAGGCUCGAAAGCGUGGGGAGCGAACAGGAUUAGAUACCCGGGUAGUC
rnacentral:rRNA from 1 species